CCUAGUUUUUCUUAUAUAGAACGUGAUCUGAGACUGCGUAAAUCUAUAACUUUUCAUUGAGAUGAAAUAAGGAGGGCUUAUUUUAGAUUUAGACCUUAUCAAAUCAAACUUUUCACUUUUCCAUUUUCAAGAGAAAGGUACCAUCAUCGUUUUCAGACUUGGUAUUCUGAAUUUUUUAAUUUGAAUAUUCUAUUGCAAAGAAUACUGCAUUUUGUCUUUCAUGUUAUCUUUUUUCGGAGAAACCAAGCAUAUAAAGUGGUUAUG
rnacentral:lncRNA from 1 species